AAGAAUUUUCUAAAAUUUAAUUUCAAGACAAAAAAUAAACUCAAUAGUUCUCUAAUAUUACAAAAUAUUAUAAAAAGUGACACGAACUUAUAUUGAGUGAUUCUGAUUAGUAGAUAGAAUUGCCUUUUCAAAAAGGGAUGUUACUAUUUUUUCCCGAAACCGGUAUUGUGGUGGCAGCCUAGCCAUUUCUCUACAAGUAUGACAUCACACACAUGUAUGUAUAAUAGAGCUAGUGGCACAAUAUGACAUCACUUCUGUCAUUCUGACAAAAACAGGACAAUUCUGAAACAAUUCUCUCAACACUGGAAAAAAGCAUCCCUACACAAUUGCUUAAGAGGUAAAAAGAAUAUGGAAAAAACAAAAAUGAAGCCAACUAUUCUGAGAUUUCACAGAAGAAGAUUUGUUUUAGGAGGAAGACUUGGAGAUCUUUCAAAUGCAAUGAAGAAAGAUUGGGAUGAAAAUCUGCUUUGACUAAGCUGCAUGUAACUGGAAAACCACUUCCUUGUGAAUCAAAACGUGGGUGAUCUGGAGUAUGGCAGGGCUUUCUUGAAUGAAAAAUGUAAAUUGGAGCAGUUAAUAACCUGAAGGAAGAAGACUGCUAUCUAAAACACAAACUAUGCAACAGGAAGAUAAUAUUACUGAGGUCAUAGAAAGAAAAUGGAAACAUUGCCAUUUUGGAAAAAAAUAUUUUCAUUGAGUAUGUUCUUCAAUCCAAUCAAAAACUGGAUUUCACUUACAAAUAUGCUCAGGAGUUAUGCUUGAUGAAACUGCACUGUCUUUUCUCCAUUAAAAGGAAGAAAGUAGGGCCACAAAAAUCUAAGCAACCACUAGAUGGCAGCAAGGAAGCAGUUUUCUAUAUUAGCUUGAUGACAACUAGAGGUUAUCAGUUGUGAGAUGAGCUACACAAAUUAUUUAAAUAAAUUGCAAAUACCAUCUAAUAAACAACAAAUUAAUAACAUCUGGAUUUUUGAAGAUCCUGUAUUGUACUACUUCAUAUCUAUGUUUGAUUUAAUGAUUAAGGUACUGAGCUAGAACCAAGAGAAUGUGAGUACUAGUCCCACUUUAGCCAUGAAAGCUGGCUGGAUGCUUUGGGCCAGUUAUUCGUUCUUAUCGCAACCCACUUAAUGCUAGUAAAAAAAAAGGGGGGGGGAUGCCCCUGGAUAAGAACUUUCUCAUUCUUAAACAGAAUAACAGAAUAACAGAGUUGGAAAGGACCUUGGAGGUCUUCUUGCCCAACCCCUGCACAAGCAGGAGACCCUAUUCUAUUCCAGGCAAAUGGAUGUCCAGUCU